CAUGGCUCCACAAGCAGGACAACAAACCUAGUCCAAAAUUUUAUUCUGAUGACCAUAACAAUGUCUUGGACAGGAAAACCUGCAGCAUAAAACCUGCAGCAAUAGUGCAAAAUAGUGCAAAAAGAAGGACACUAUUAAAAUGAAGAAACUAAGAAAAUGAGGAAAUUGAGAAACUAAAAGUAACAACCAAAAGAGUAAAAUGUUGGAAACUAUGUAAAUACGAUGCUGGAGGCACCGACUAAAUGUACAGUGGCUGUCCAAAGAGAUUCAAGCAGUAUUAUAGCAAAUUCUUUUAAAAAGCAAGUAUGGGAGCCUGUUGGAAGUAAAGUGAUAUCUUUGAAUAAGCUAUAGCCGUGUCCAAACAAGGCAAACAGCAAAGAGUGUAAACCUGGGCAAGUGAAAUGUAAAACCACAGUAAGUACACAGAAGAUGGUUGCCUGCCAAAGAGGCUGGAGUCAACAAACGAUGGAGUACAACAGGAGCACUCACGGAAGCAUGACAAAGAGUCCCAGCUGGCCAGGCGUGAGCAGCGUUCAGCAGAUGAUGGAAUCACUCUGCGGUGCCCCGUAUCCAGUGUGGAAGGGAUCAACAUGGACCUGUUGAAGGCACGUGAGAUUUCCACUGAUGUCUCCAGGGCUUCUUUUCUGGGGGUCCCAUGUGCAACACGCUCCUGCCCACUGUACAGCAGGCAUUCCCGCAGCAAGUUGCAGGAGCACGGGUGACCCUUGCUGUUAGGUGUUCAUCCCCAGCUGUGCUGCAGCAGCAAAGCCGAGGUCACCUACAGAAGAAAGCAGGGAGAUGGGCCACCACCUGACACCCUCCA